UACCUAUAUUCACGUCUAACCACACGACUAACAAAAACAGACGAAGAAAAUAUCGUUCUGUCCGAAGAAUGAAGACUUCAUACUCCGAGAACACGAGGAAAUGGAAGACUUAGGAUCUACCUAUAUACCCGUGUGUAAAUAUACACAAUAUUAGGCCGAAAUGAAUUCCUAUUUUUAACCCUGCUCUUUGGGACCAGAGCUACUGUGUGUUAGUGAAAGCACGAUGGGGAGCACAUCGUCCAAGUUCCGUAAACACCUAAAUAAUGGGGACGAAGUGGCGGCCCUGAAUCUAUACAACAGCCAUAGUGAUCUGAGGAAAGCCCUGGAUCCAAACUGUUCCUAUGGUGACUCGCAUCAGAAUGAAACGCCUCUUCACUACUCUGCACGACAUGGCAUGAAAAGUUUACUUCGGAUAUUUUUACGAGAGUUAGGAGGAAACCCCAACAAGACAAAUGGCCACAAAGAGACGUGUCUACACUGUGUAGCUAUGGAGAAGCCGUGUCACAGCAAUUGUUACCCCGUACUACGCAGGCGGGCGGAUUGUCUGCAGAUGCUACUCAACUGGAGGGGAGCUACUCUAAAGGACGGCGAAGUGGAGAAGAUCGACUUGUCUGCUCAGGAUGAGAAUUUGAAUACUGCGUUACAUUAUGCUGCGGCGUCAGGGCUGAAGAGAUGUGUCGAGAUGCUGGUGGCUCAUGGGGCACCCUUGUUCACAGAAAACAUAGACCAACUAACACCAUGUGAUUCUGCAGAGAGAAACUCUCACACAGACAUAGCAGUUUACCUGGAAUCCAAGAUGGUCUUCUCAGAUAAUGAUGGUAAUGACUUACCUAUAGCGGAAAUGUUACCUGUCGUGGAUUCAGAGGAGUACAGUGGUUUGCGAGCCCAGGAUCUCCAGGAGGCCAAGGACCAACUGCUGGUGGAGACAGCAGACAUGCUCAGUGUGCCACUGUUUACUGCCGACGCCCUCUUACGGAACCAUGAGUGGUCGCGUGAGAUGCUCCUGGAGGCAUGGAUGAGCGACCCGUUGGCCUGCUGCGAAAAGUCUGGUGUGACCCCUCCCCCCAGUCUGUUUUCCGAACAACCCCAAGUCCAGGAGUCCUUGACCAGUCCUGUCAGCUCAGAACCUCCUAGUCCUGACACCAUGUGUGAUAUUUGUACUCAGUCAUUCCUGUUGGAGGAAGAGCCUGUCCACAUGGCCUGUAAACACCAGUUCUGUCGCUGCUGCUGGAAAGAAUACCUGAACUUGAAGAUCCAGGAGGGAGACGCCCACCAUAUUACCUGUCCUGGGUUUCAGUGUGGAAAGCUUGUUCCUGUAGAGAUUAUAGAGAACAUCGUCUCCAGGGAGAUGGCACGGCGGUACCUUCAGUUUGACAUCAAGGCAUUUGUAGAAAGUAACCCCAGUAUUAAGUGGUGUCCCUUCCCGGGCUGUGGCCGAGCGGUGAGACUGCCAGAACUGGACGGUAACAACCAGACACCGCGACAGCUUCCUGCCGACACUUCACGUGCUGUCGACUGUGGUAACAAGCACUACUUCUGUUGGGACUGUGGUGGUGAGGCUCACGAGCCAUGCAGCUGUGAUAACUGGAUCAAGUGGUACCAGAAAAUAGCUGAAGUGAAACCUGAACAAAUGGAUGGCACAGAGAAGGAUACAGAGUCUGCGGCCAACUGUCUGUGGCUAGUCACAAAUUCCAAGCCCUGUCCCAACUGUAAAUCUCCUAUUCAGAAAAACGAGGGCUGUAACCACAUGAAGUGUUCUAAGUGUAAAUUUGACUUUUGCUGGGUGUGUUUGGAUCAGUGGAAGCGCCACAACUCGAGUACGGGCGGAUACUUUAAGUGUAACCGGUACGAGGUAUCAAAGAUCGUGGAGGAUCACGCCAACAUGGCGCAAUCAGAUGCGGAGGAAAAAAACAAGAGAAUGCAGGAAAUCAACAAAUUUGUCCAUUAUUACACUCGUUUUAAGAACCACGAAAACAGCUACAAGUUUGAAGAACCUCUCACCAGUUCAACUAAGACGAAGAUGAUGAAAUUGGCGGAGGCUGUAACAGACCCUGCCACAGCCAAUGCAGAGACCAAGUUUGUGGAGGAAGCUGUGGAGCAGCUACUGAAAGCUCGGCGUGUGCUCAAGUGUUCCUACUCUUACGGGUACUAUCUGGACGGUCCAGGCUACAAAAAGAUGGUUUUUGAAUUUAUGCAGACAGAGCUGGAGGAAUGCGGUGAGAUUCUGUCACAGAUGGUCAACAGGCUGUAUUUGAGGACGCCCAGGAAACGCAUCAUAGAACAAGCUCAUGUAGUCCAGAGGAAGCGUCACGAGUUCAUCGUGGCCAUAUCCAAAGGUCUGGUACCACCGGAGACGCCACCCGCUCUCAGGAAACACAGGAGACGUAGAUACAGCAUGGACUACGAGGAUGAGGAAUUGCGGAAGGCCAUACUAGCCUCGAUACAAGAUGUUGACCCAGCCAAUCCCUGGAUAAAGGAUGCUUCUGGUCGCCAUACCAACGUGAUGGCUGUCCUAGACUGGCCGGACAGUGAUGACUCGGACAGCGAUACACAGACAACUCAGAGACAACCAGAUAAAUGUGCUAGAGAAGGUUGCAACAAAUUGGAGGCCAAGAACCCGCGGACAGGAGAAUGGCACCAGUACUGCAGUCGCCAGUGUAUGAGUGCCGCUGCUGUGGAGAACACAGACCAUUCAGAGCCUGUUCAGGAGGCUAUACUUGAUGAACAGAUGGAUCUCCUAAGGGCAUUGGAGAUGUCCCGUCUUCAGUACCUCCGAGACCAGGGUAUCAUCGCAGACCUGUCCUCUACAACAGCUAGCUUACUGGACUCCCCUGGAGCAGCGGAAGGAGGAAGCCCCAUCCCUGGAGACGAGAGUGGCCUCCCUUCCCCACAGAAACAGAGCAAGACCCUUCCCGACAUCACCCUGCUGCCUAAGUCUCCAAGGGCAAACGGUAAACAACCAACAGAUAAAAAGGGGAAGUCGCCAAAACGGUCCAAGGAUGAGGGAUCACAGCCAGGAAAACUGAAUAGUAUGACUGCUAUGGAGGAGCUAGACUUUGAGCUACAGAGAGUGCUAGAAAUGUCAACCAUUAGUCCUUCGGAUUUGUCUCCAGAUGCCAAAUUAAUGUUGCCCAAAAGUGCCACACUACCAGCCCCUGUGUCACCACAACAACCGCGUCACACUACCCCUCAGGAGUUGCUGUCUCCCUAUUCCCAACACCGUCGUAGGAAGAGUCAGGGUCGUUUUGAUGAGACCACGUCCACAGUGGUUAGUCGAGUCCCAAACAAGAGUGUGGAAGACCUGCUCCAUGAUGACUGUAGCAUUGGAUGUAGGGCCCCUCCCCCUUCUCUGUCUACACUGUCAUCUGAGUCGGAUUCUCCUGGUGAAUGUAUUGGGACGAUACCCGCUCUGUAUACAACUCCAGGUCUGUCGAGUCAAUCGCCGAUCACACCAUCCCCGCCCACGAGCACAUACCAACAACAGCAGCCCAAUCAGUCCCCAGGCUGCUUCGGUAUAAUUAAGGACUUGUCUGUGUCCAACAUCAACACGGGCGAGGCAGAUAAGACACGCGACUUUCAAGGGAAAAACUUGAGUUUGUUUCGGGACCAAAAGCAGGAAAGGCCAUCACUGAGAGGAAUACUGGCGGCUAACACUCCAGGUGAAGAUGAGGACAAUGUUUUUGUUCUUGUCAGCCCCGACAGUUUACAGACCAGUCAACAACAGUCCUGGGCCUAUCCUGCAAACUUCUCCACAAGUGCUAAUAAUAAACACCAAAGUCAACCCACAGGAGGGGUCAGAGGUCAAGAAUCCACACCGUCGUGGGAGAUGACCUCCUCAACAUCGAGUCUAAAAGGAGAGACAAAAGUACUCACGUCACUUUACGAUCACACAAAAGGCUCCGCGGGGUCUGAUGACCCUGGAGAAAUGUCCCUCUCUCAGAUGGCGGAGAACCUUGUCCAUAUUUCUGCGGAGAUGAAGCGGAUGGUCGAGGACCACAUUACUGAUACAACGGAUUCUAACCCAGAUUCUUCCCUAGAGGAGGUUGGUGCUACUCCCGAACGACCUCUGGAGCUAGACUUUGACAACUUGGAUGAACUCCUACCCACAAGCUCCCUACAGCAGUAUGUAGGUACACACCUGGACAGCCCUGACUCACUGACAGAUCCAUUUGAAAAUUGUGAUACAUAUCAACCGCAAUCCUUUGUGCAUAAUACAGUAGACGAGGACAAGGAAGAAUCAAUACAGCACUUUAUGGACAAUGUUGAUGAUGACACGGCGGGAACAAGCCAGCCUCGCCUGUUCUCAUCACGAGCAAGAGAUACAGACAAAGGCUUCCUACCGACAGAGAUAACGUAUAAUUCACAAAUACAAAGUGCCAAUGGAAGUAAAGAUGGAGCCCCAGAUAGGUCGUGUGCUCCAUUGCAAGUAACUGACUUGGAAACACCAGAAAUCAAUGUAGACCACCAAAGACCUAGAGUAGGUCCCCGGGAAACACUCAUUGAUUUCCGACUCGGACAAAGCGACUUUGAUGCUGGUCCUUCAGAGCAACGUCCGAGUCAGACCCAAAGCCAUCGGAGUCGUCCACGGAGAAUAGAAACUGUGUUUGGUGUGGACGAUGUGGUCACCGCUGCAGAGGGUCCCACACCGGUUGUGGAGCUCGACUUGACUGUGGAGUCUGGGCCUGCAAACUUGGGUCGGACACGAGGUAGUGGGGAUGAUAGCUCACAUGCAGAUUCAUUCUUUGUGUGAAAUUUUAUACACAUAUAAUAUAUUAUAUAUUUAUACUUGAUAUUUAUAACUGUUUUCCACAGGUGAAACAAAGCAAUAUUCUGAGAUAGUUGAAUUUUCUUUAGGAAGAAAAAGGUUGAAUCUAGCUUAAAAACUGAUGUAUUGUAUGUUCAUACAGUAACAUAUAUAUACAUGAUAAGAAAUCAUUGGUUAUGAACAAAACAUUGUCAAUGGGAUGAUAGGAAAACUGUCUAUCGUAUAGGUUCUAAGAAUUGCCCAUAUUCUAUUAAAUGUCAUUGCUCUCAGUUUAAGAUAAAAUGUUGAUAUGUAAAACAAUUUUUUUACCAGUUUUCUAAAUUUUCAAAAACUGUUGAAUAAUCACUCAUCCCAUUCUCCAAAAAUUUUCUUCCUUGCCAUAGUCAAGCUGCAGUGUUGGUGAUUAUUUUACUGUACAAUGUCCUUUCCUUACUGUUUUUAAAUAGUACUCAUGGCUUCCACCAUUCUAUCGCUUCUCAGCUUCUUUUUGAAGCUUGUCAUCACACUCAAUUGAAUACAUCUUUGAUGAUUCAAUCACUGAAAUGAUCUUGAUUUCAUCAUCAACUUUUGUGAUUUUCCUUAAGAGACUUGGAUCAAGAUGGAGGAAACAGGAAAAUGAUGUAUUUUUAUAGACGAUGAUUGUUCCCUAUUAGUGUUUCCAUUCCAAUAAUUGCGUACCCCAUUCUUCAUUUACCUCUGUGAUCAAAUAAGUAGCUGGGCAAUUAUUAGAACCAGUGCGGUAUAGUUUUCUGAUGCAAUAGGUAGAAAGGGGAUUUUUUUUAACAGACAUAUUUUGUUUGCAAUGUAUUAUUUUAUUCAAAUUGGUAACUAUUAACUCUUUUUUUAUUUUGAAUAUUACAUUUUGUUUAAUUAGAUAAGUUCUAAUUAAGCAGAAUCUUGUAAUCAUUUUAAAAAAAGGUGCCAGAAAGUAGUUUGUUUGAGUGUUGGAAAUAGUGUGGGGCCAAGGAUUGGCAAUGUGCCAAAUGUGAGGAGAAUUUAAUUUAUAUGUGAGCAAAUUUCAGCUUGUUUGAAGUACAUUACUUGCAGAUUGUAGUUCUUAAGAUAUUACGAAAAAAUCAUGCAGUAGUUCAUUUUUAAAUUUAACUUUUUAUUUUUUGUUUCAUUUUAAAAGCAGUGUAAUAUAUAAGGAUCACAUGAAAAAUAUGUCUAGUUUUUGAGAAAAGAUUUGUGGAUAUUAUGUUGAAAUUAAUCACUAUGAUUUUGUACUAAUAUAUUGCUGCUUUAAGCUGUAUUAAACUUGAAGCUAUCAUGAAAGGAUUUUCCAUUUUUCCAUUGUUGUUAGGGGGAAAAAACGGUUUACUUUCAGUAUAUUGAUCCUUAGUGUAUUUCUUUUUAGAGAACUGCAUAUUUAAAUCAAUCAAUGCUUUUUAACUCUUCAUUUAAAAUACUUUGAAAAAGGUAGUGCAUACAGAUGUACAAGCUGUAUCUGAUCAAGACUCGAAAGCCCAGCCUACACAAGAUGAAACAAUGUUGAGAUAUGGUGCAAUUUAUUCAUAAGCACAUGUAAAGGCAGUGAAUCAUUGUACAUUAUAUACCAUAAUCUUCAUCCUCGAAAUUUAAGGGGUUACGCUCCCUUAGGUUUUCUUUGUCCCUGGAAUAUGUCAUGACAAAAUUGAAGGUACCGGUGCACAGUAAGCUAUUUGAAUGGUUUACAGUGAGAACAAAACUGAUUUUGAUUUAAACAUAUUUUAUUUGCAAAAAUACAAAAGGGAUUAGACAUAAAACUUAAAGUUUGCCUUCUCCCUUAAAACAAUAAUGAUGAAACAUACAUAUGGCUGCACAGUAGAAAAUAUUGAUGACUAUAAAUUUAGAUGAUUCAAAGGAAAACAUGAAUAAGAUAAAAUGCACAAUAUACAAAUCUUAUAGAUUAUCUUUGUAUUGAAUGUUCAUUAACCUGUAUGUAAUAUAAACAUGCUGUAACAUCACUAUAAACAAUCUAAAGUUUAUAUUUUCAUAUUGAAACUUCUGUCAAUGAUACAUAUCAUAUAGUCACUAAAACAAUAUAAAACGUAACAAUUUAGAAUUAGCUCUGAAAUCAACUUGCAUGUGUCAACACCGUAGCAGCUUGAAAACUGCAUCACACAAUGGUCACAUCCUUGAAACUUUCUUUAAAAGGCACCGCACCAAAACUGAUCAUUCACUUUACUAGGCUAACCUCUGAGGAUGACACAUGAGUGGCGUCCAUACUUCAAAGCCAGUAAAUUUUACCAUCACCUUUCCACAUGUUUCUUUCAAUGUUCAUGAUCAUAUUCCAGGGGGAGCAGGUUUGUUUUGAAUACUCAAAUGAAGUUAAAAAUUUGUUUUGUUUAUUUCUUACCAAUUUGUGUGUAGUCCUAUGAUGGUUUUGAAAACUGCAUCAAUACAAAAGGUUAUUUGAUUUUGUUGUGCAUGUGUUCGCAAGUAGGUUUUUAACAUACAAUUUAUGAAUCACAUACAGGAAUGACAAAUUCCAGGUAAACGUGUGGUUUGGUUGAUGAAUAUAUAGUUCAUUCUCAUCCUGUGAGGAAAUCUUUGAUGAUUUGUUUCCUGUACUGGUGAAGAGGCUUCUCGAAAUCUUGACUCUUUUUCUCCUGUGGAAAUAUAUUUAUUUACUGCUAUGAAAUUCAAAUGCUUCAAUCAUUCAUUUUCUAUAGGAUUGCUGUUGUUUCAGUGCAGGACUAUGUGAAAGUUCAGCAGUUCCAUGAGAAAUGUAUAGAUGACAUAGAUAUUUACAUGUUAGUUAAAAGUCUGUUUUAUGAAACAGAACUACCUGCAGCCAAAUGCUUAAUUUGAAAAAAAAAAAUCCUGUAAAAUCCUGUAAAAUUCUUUCAAUUUUUGUUUAGAUUAUAGUUAUAGCUAUUUUUAUGACAAAUGUAUGAGAUAAAAUUUAAGGAUUUCUUUAGAUUUUAAGCUUGGAGAGACAAAGUCUUCUUUUCUUUAAAUCGUUAUGUUACAUGUAACUUCGAUUUUUUUUUCUUGUAAACGCAAUAUUGUAUAAUGAUAGCUCAAAUUAUCAUCAAACUUAUUUCAUAUUGAUGGUGGUUCGACUGCGAUCUUCACAUAGUCCUGUAAUGUGAUAAUCAAUGAUAGAAUAUGUAAUCAUGAUAUGUUACCAUGGUCUUUGUCAUAUGUCAUACAGUUGUUUUUGCCUUUUGCCAACAGAAUAGCCAUGUCCCUAGUGCAUUGCUGGGAAGGGAGAUAACUCCCAGUAAUGAAGGGAGAUAACUCUCGGUAAUGAAGGGAGAUAACUUUCUGUAAAUUAAAUGGAAAUAAUGUAUUUUCCCGUGUGUAUGUCUGUCUCAGAGUUUCUGUAAAUGUACGUCUGUUAAUGGUUAUUUUUAUGAAGCUCUAUAAUUGCCUGUAGUACCGUCAUUACUGACGAUUCAAAAGGUGAAUAUUCAUGGAAAUUCUUGACUGUUUGAAGUUUUAAACUUAUGUGUUGUGGUAUUAUUCCCUUAAUAAAUCUGUUUUCGUUAUGUAAUAAACCUAAUUGCACUGGUGAUAAGUCAAUGGUUAAACCCUUAUCAUAUUUUUAACAGCUAUUUUUCAGAUGAGUGUCAAAUCUGGAUAAAUAUCCUUGAUACAAUAUAGGGUACAGUAAGAUAGAGCGAAGUUUUCAUUUCAUCUUUUUAUUUCUUAAGAUACACCAGACUCCUAGGGCUUAUUGCAGUCUCUGCUUGGGUUCUUUGUGAUAGAAUCUGACCUAAGGAGAGAUUGGGAUAUCGCAAGUGAAACACGAUAGUGCAUGUACUCAUAUUCUAGGUAUAUAUGCAAACUGUAUUUACAUGUGUUGAUAUGUUUGCAAAAAUAUCAUAGCAUUUGGAUAUGUGUGCUUAUCCUUCAGUGCAUUUUGCUACAUAUGCUAAAUUUUGUGGAAAUGUCUGUUUAUAAGUAAUAGCUGUGAUAAGCAUGCUGAUACCACGAAACAAGUUAACUGUUCUAGUUACUACAGUUAUCGCACUGUAAUGUUUUACAUACUUUAUCAACCUCAGUUGGAAAGUUACUAAAAUUAAUUUGUUACAACUUUCAUGUUUCAGUUAUUGAGAGGGGGGAAAAACGACUACUAAAUCAGCCUCAGUUGGAAAAGUUACUACAAUCAGACCUUUUGUCAGAAUUUCUGUGGUUCAUUUAGAAAUAAAGAAAAAUUCCUUUUGCGUACAGUUUUAAAAAAUUCAUAAUAGAACAUACUUGGAACAAUAUUCAAUGCCUAUCGGAUCAUAGGCAUGUCCUGUUUUUUGGGUGUUUUUUUUCGUGUUACCAUACAGAGAAACUGUUUUAAGAUAUUUUUUACAUAUUUAUUACAAUAUUUGUUUAAUUAGGACCCAUACUUCAAUGUGCUAUAUAGAAUCACUUUGAUUAUAUUCUGUAUAGUAAUAUGACUAGUUUGUUGUAACGAAACAGUAUUACCACAUCUGCGCUAUAAAGCAUAAUUUUUUUCAGUACAAGAAAAUAUAGAAGUUAAUAUAAGAUCAUUUUUUAUCCAUAAAGAUAAUAUCACAUUAUCAAAUAUAAUCCAGUUUUUAUCAAAAUAAAUUGUUGGGAGGCCAAUAUUGCAGAGAAAUGAACAACAUUAGUGCUACAAUUUCAGACAGAUUUAAUAAACUGGCCAAAGGUCCUUUGAAAGGGUGUUAUUUCUGUCUCUCAGACAAAAGUUGGGGGAAUGAGGGACACUUACAACAGUCCAUAUGUUACUAAUUAUAGUACAUUGCAAUGUGAGGUAACAGUUCAAAGAAAUGUAAUUUUACUAGGAAUUAGAAAAAACUAACGUCCUAGUGUUAGAUUAUGAUGUAAUAACAUCAAAAAAUUUAAAUGUCAUACCUAUAUAGUAAACUUUAAAUACAUGUACAUGAUAUAUGGCUUGAUAAGCAUGACAAUUUAACAAUUUUAUAGGUAGUAAUUCUGGAAUCAAAUCAUUCAUUCUUCAAUGAGAAAGCUAGACUUAAGAAUCAAUACUAAUAUAACAGAGUCACUUGGUUGUGGGAAACGUUAGCAUUCAAUAGUGUGAAGCAAUAGAUUCAGGUUGAAAAGUUAGCAAAGUAGUACCGUAUAAGGUUGAAAAGUUAGCAAAGUAGUACUGUAUGAGGUUGAAUGGUGAACAAAAUAGUGUUAAUCAUAUACACAGUAUGAUUCAAGUUCUCUCAAAAGGCCAAGUUUCUUUCAUCAAUUGUAUUUAUGCUGACAAAAUUGUACAUAAUGCAUACCUUGUGAGUUGCAAUUUCCACUGUGAUAAAAGCUUUGUAGAUUAUUCUGUACCUUUUAAAUGUGGGCACAUGUUAUUACAAGUUCUCCAGAUAGGUGAAAUAUGAACCGUCUUCAAGAUGAAACCAUUGCUUUUUCAAAAUUCUUCCAUCUUUUUUAAUCCAGAGUCGCCUCGCCCGAUACAAGUUUCUUUUAGACCCAUUAUUUUUCAGUAUUAGGUCACUAACAAACUGUGUAACGAAUUUAUCCCGUCGAAGGCCCUUUGGAUAAAAAAAACUGCAAAAUAAUACGCACGUCCAUAUAAAAAUGGCAAAGAACUUCCGCAAGUCUCACCUCAUCAAAUGACUCGAAUGCGGUAUCUUGGCACAUUUCUGUCAGAUAUUCCGUUAAAAUUCUCGCCGACUUUUGAUUAGCCUUGUUAGUGUUGUCAGCAUUUACUUUCACCCGCUUUGUUAACAUUUCAAUGGCUGUCGUCUGCACAAACCGCUUGGUCGCCAUCUUGUUACAAGUUGACUCUUAUGGGCAAAGAACGAUAACUCUUUCAUACUCACCUAAUGUGAGAUUCUACUGACCUAAUAUGAAAAUAUACUGGAUAUCAUGUGACAUCUUUUUAACCAAUAGGACUACAGGAUUUUUGCCUGAGGCGGGAUAAUAAUACAUAUGCACUCAAAAAAGGUAAAUGUAGAUAUCAUAAUAAAGAUUGAUUUUAUUAACUGCCAACCUUGUAUAUUGGAUUAAGUUCAGUAAUGUAAUAGAAUAUCCCAAAGAAGAAUGGUGUAAUUAAAAAUAUUCUGUACCUGAUCGUGGCCCCAGUUUUGACUUAACUUAAAGAAACAGAAGUUGUUUUUCAUAGGUUUAGGAAUGCAUUAUUGGGACUUGAGUAAAAAGUAAUUUGAGGACUUUUUAGCCCACCGUCAUCUGAUGGUGGGCUAUUCAAAAUCACCCUUUGUCCGUGGUCCGUCCGUUAACAAUUCUUGUUAUCGCUGUUUCUCAGAAAGUGCAGGAGUACUCAGUUUUUUUAUAUGAACUAGGACAGGGUUUUGUAGGUAAAUACAGUAAUAUCUGUUUAAAAAGUAGUCGGGACUCUCUGAAAAAGAUGUUUGCCGAACUCUGUGGAAAGGAAGUUUCACAAACAGCCUGGAAAGGAUGAGCACAGAUUCAUUAUUAUCUUUGACAAUAAGGCAGAAUUUUGAAUGUUAUGGACAUGAGUCACUGUGACUAGAGUUACUGUGAAUGUAUUAGCUGUCUGUGGAUGUUGCGUUAUACAUAAUUUGUAUCAAAUUAUUAUUAUAAAGCUAGACCCAAUUGUUUGAAGCUAUAUUUGCCUGGUAUCGUUGUGAAAUUUAUUUGUUCACUUGAUUGAUGUGUUAUUCAGUGACGACGCCCAUGUCAUAUAUUUUGCAUAUGAACUUGUGUUACACCACAACCUAUCGUGAUGUCAUUGAAUUAUAAUGAAAUGGCAUCACAGACUUCUAGAUUACAUUACCAUGAAAAUGGACAAACUCCUAUGAGCGGAAAUGUUCAUUGGGCAGGGGUAUUUGGAAUUGUUGGACAUUUUUGGCAGUUGUGAUAGUUAUGUAGUCUUCAUAUUCUCGGUAGUCUAUUGAUAAAUACAAUGUUCCUAUGUGGAUAUUUUUUGCUGUAGUUUAUACUCGAUGUAAGAAAAGCAGGCAUCACAGUGGACAAUUUUUUAACUUAAACAGUUGCAUACAAAUUCAAUCAACACAACCAAACAAGUGGCUUUACAAGUAUGUUUUGUUGAUAAGACAGGGGAUACAAAAGUCAUGUGACUGAAAUUCAUUUGAUCAUUUGCUCAACUAAUGUAUGUUGAAUUACAUGUUGAAUUACAUAUUCUGAAUAGUCAACUUUAACCUUAUGUCAUGGUGUUCCUUGUGACAUUACAUUUACAAAUUGAAGGUAUGUGAUGGUGUUAUAACACUGUAAAGCAGCCUGAGUAUGUGAUGGUGUUAUAACACUGUAAAGCAGCCUGAGUAUGUAAUAGUGUUAUACACUGUAGGCAGCCUGAGUAUGUGAUAGUGUUAUAACACUGUAUGUCAGCCUGAGUAUGUGAUAGUGUUAUAACACUGUAUAGCAGUCUGAGUAUGUGAUAGUGUUAUAACACUGUAAAGCAGCCUGAGUAUGUGAUAGUGUUAUAAC
rnacentral:misc_RNA from 1 species